rnacentral:rRNA from 1 species
CAGUGAGGAAUAUUGGUCAAUAGCCUAAUCGGCUGAACCAGCAACUUGGAGGAAUGUACAGGGAAAACUGGUAAAAUGUGAUGUACCUGAUAGUAUUAGUGAUUAAUAUGAAAUUAACUAAGUUAAUUAAAAUUCAAAGUAGAUAUGUGAUUAUGACAAUAUUUGCUUAUUUCUUGACCAAGUCACGUGCCAGCAGUCGCGGUAAUACGUGGAAGAUAAGUGUUAUUCAUCUUUAAUAGGUUUAAAGGGUACCUAGACGGUUAAUUAAGCAUAUAAGUGUACUAAUUAUUAACUAGAGUUUAAUGUAAGAAGGAUUGAGUACGGUGAGUGAAGAGAUAAAAUUCUGUCAUACCACUUAGGAACUGGUAAAGGCGAAGGCAACCUUUUAUGUAAAAACUGACGUUGAAGGACGAAGG